rnacentral:lncRNA from 1 species
GAACAGUGCCCGCCAAUUACCUGCCCACAGCCCGCCCAUCUCCCACCCGACGCCCACCGCUGGUUUUGGGACGAUUUGCCCCCACAUUGCAGCUGCUGCCGGGGUUCUGCCGGACUCAGACUCCCUCCUUCCAGAUACAGGCUCUGGGCUGUUACACUUGAAGCGUAACAGUGUAACACUCCAGACAAGUAAGCACUAGAAGUUGUUGCACCAUUAUCAUAUUUUGGCAAAAAGGGAAUUUUUUUCCUGGAAGAAAAAAAGAAAAAAAAAAAGAAGUAAAAUAACUGUGGCUGCAAGGGACCGGGGAAGCAAGAGAUGCUCUUCUACAUACGGCCCACAGCUGCUGCUGCCUUGUGCAACCAGAAUCACCAGUUUUCUGCACAGAGCUGAAGACGUGAGCAAAGCUCAGAAAAAUAAUGGAAAUAAGAAGCAUCAGCUCUAAUAAGAAAGCACUGCGAGUCCUGAUGGAUUGAGAACAAAACCUUCCACACAGAAAGAGAAAACAGCGCAGGAAAAUGCCCUUUUCCCCCAGUUGACAGAAGCACGUACACAGCAGGAAAACUGCAGCUCGCCCACGGCAGCUCUGUGUCCCUCAGCUCUGCUCCACUCUACAAAGUGAUGUCAUCAUGUACUGCUUUAGUCCUGAGGUGCCUCCAAUGGCCGCUGUGCCAUCUCAGCUGCUCUUCAGAGCUUCUGCAAAUGAACUCCAUCUCUAUCUCCACAGCAACAACUCACAAACAGAGGCCUAUGACUUCAGCUGAGGAGCAUGCAGCAGGCAUUGAUGAGCUGCCAAGCAACGAAGAUUUGGUUUCAGGGUGGAUGCAGAAGCCAGAUAGUGACAUUUUUCUUGGGUUUUUGUCUGCCCUCCUUCCGGUGAAUUCCCACUGAAGAUAAUUUGGGCUCCGAGAGAAGAAACCCCUCCCCGGGAACUUGUUAUUUCAGUAACAGCUGAGUAAGGCCCAUGGAGGUCUUCAGGCUUCAGACAACCCUUUGGAAGCAAUAAUAACAGCAAGGAAAGAAACAAGAUGGAAAGCAUGGCCCGUGGCCAUCGAUCUACCCAGGCAGUUUGCUGCUGGUGGCACUUCAGCUGGAUGCAAAACCAGCACGAAAAAAAAAACCAAACCACGAUCCAAGUACAAGGUGCCAACAAGUUCAUCUUUAAUUAGCAGUUAAUUAGUUGUUUUGCUCAUUCGUCAGAGCACGAAUGUUUCCCAGCUGUGUAUCUAAACAGUAUUCCUCAGCCUUUCAGGCCCCCCUGUGAUCCCUGCAUCACUGAACAGCCCUGGAGUUCCCUCCAUUCCCCCCGUGGGUGCAGUCCCGCAGCCAUGGGAGCUCUCAGUGGGGGCGAUGCUCUGCGGUGCCUCAGUUCCAGCCCUGCUCUGUGCUCCCUGCCCAGCACUGCAGGGCUUUCCAGUCCUCCUACACGAGAGAGCAAUGCUUUCUCUGAAGCGUCCUUAGGCAGCCUACCUGCCUGGUGAAGGAUGACUAUUCCUAAAUGGCUUUGCAGUCUUUUGAAAAACCAGUCAUGAAAUAAUUGAGUCAAGCUUUCGUGAAAUAGAUCUUAAUUUUAUUCUAUGGAUGUCAUAGAUCUGAAAUUCUCAAAUGCUGAUGAACUUCCGUACAAACGCUUUAUGAUACUGGAAGUUCCCAGUGCUUGCAGUGCAGUCCUGCAGCGGUGUGGUGUUGGCAUAAGAACAAAUGGGAGGAGAGCGUUAAGAGAAUGUAAAAUAAAGAUAACUCUGAAGUAAACCCAAACAGUAGCCAACCAAUUACCUUAUCAUUCCCACUUUGCAGCUCGGGCAGAAUUUAUU